rnacentral:rRNA from 1 species
UGGUGGAGCGAUUUGUCUGGUCAAUUCCGAUAACGAACGAGACUCUAGCCUACUAAAUAGUUCGGGGACCCCCACAAAGGGGCCCCGCUUCAACUUCCUUAGAGGGACAGGUGGCGUUUAGCCACACGAGAUUGAGCAAUAACA